GACGAACCGGACAAACGUUAUUCGGAAUUACUGGGCUUAAAGGGUUUGUAGGCGGCCUUGUAAGUCCGGUGUGAAAUCCCUCGGCUCAACCGAGGAAUAGCGCUUGAUACUGCAAGGCUUGAGGGAGACAGGGGUAAGCGGAACUGAUGGUGGAGCGGUGAAAUGCGUUGAUAUCAUCAGGAACACCGGUGGCGAAAGCGGCUUACUGGGUCUCUUCUGACGCUGAGGAACGAAAGCUAGGGGAGCGAACGGG
rnacentral:rRNA from 1 species